rfam:Tstilago hordei, Th4857-4, WGS project CAGI01000000 data, contig: THOR_scaffold_5.00049
GUGGGAGAGGCUUAGUGGUUUGGCGUGAGAUUGCAACUUAUCUUCAUUCAUGGAAGAAAGGCGCCCUAAUAAACAUCUUGAGGUCGUGGGUUCGAUUCCCACCUUCCACU